AGGAUGGUGCAGGUUCAUGAACUAAGCUGCGAAGGAAUCUCCAAAAGUUAUGUCUUCCGAGGGACCAAGGAUUUAACUGCAAAGCAAAUACAGGAUAUGUUGGGCCUGAGCAAGCCAGCCAUGCCCAUGCAACAAGCCAGACCUCCUCAACCACAGGAGCACCCUUUUGUUUCCAGCAGAUUUCUGCAGCCCAUUCACAAGAUUGAUAUGAACCUCACUGAUCUUCUUGGGGAGCUGCAGAGGGACCCAUGGCCAGUAACUCAGG